rnacentral:lncRNA from 1 species
ACAUUGUUCAUGUUUGACUUUCUUUGGGCUUUGUUAUGAGAUAAAAAUGAUUUGGAAAAUAGAAUUCUUUCAGAGGCUACACUUGAGGUUUAUGGAAUCCUGAGAUUUAUCCAGAUCAAUCUCCUCACUCAUAUGCCUUUAUGAGGUCAGCUAUGGUUCUAAUGACCAGAGGAGCUAGGACACACACCACCAGAGGGCUUCCAGCCUUUCCAAUCCCACCUUGCAGCACGCCAUCAGAGUCCUAAAAGCAAAAUCAUCUUGAGGACCUCACACCCUCACUGGAGACACAGCCCUGUCUCACUGUCAGACCAAAGAGGAAUCUGUGUGUCCCAAGUUUUUAGUUCAAAAAUAUAUUCAUUAUAUGCAGGCAAAAUGCAGCGAUUGUUAUAGUGAAGAAUCCAGGACCUGCCUUGUUUGAGAGUUUGGUGGGAGAGCAGCAGAAGUCAGGUCUAGCAAGGAUCUCACUUGUCAGCAGAAAUGAGCCAUCUGGUUGCUGCCCUGAGAUCCCAUCUUACACAAAUGUCACCGCUUUCCACAUUCACAACGGACUGUUUCCUUACCAGCCAGGAGAAGCCAAUUAUAUUUGUCAAACAACAAGAGCAAAGUACAUUUUU